rnacentral:rRNA from 1 species
CUUUAAGGGUCCUGAAGGAACGUUGAAGACGACAACGUUGAUAGGCCGGGUGUGUAAGCGCAGCGAUGCGUUGAGCUAACCGGUACUAAUGAACCGUGAGGCUUAACCUU